GAAAUGCGAUAAGUAAUGUGAAUUGCAGAAUUCAGUGAAUCAUCGAAUCUUUGAACGCACCUUGCGCUCCUUGGUAUUCCUUGGAGCAUGCCUGUUUGAGUAUCAUGAAAUCUUCAAAGUAAAUCUUUUGUUAACUCAAUUGGUUUCUACUUUGGUAUUGGAGGUCUUUGCAGCUUCACACCUGCUCCUCUUUGUUCAUUAGCUGGAUCUCAGUGUUAUGCUUGGUUCCACUCGGCGUGAUAAGUUAUCUAUCGCUGAGGACACUGUAAAAGGUGGCAAAGGUAAAUGCAGAUGAACCGCUUCUAAUAGUCCAUUGACUUGGACAAUACUUUUAUGAUCUGAUCUCAAAUCAGGUAGGACUACCCGCUGAACUUCAGC
rnacentral:misc_RNA from 1 species